rnacentral:misc_RNA from 1 species
AAGUCGUAACAAGGUUUCCGUAGGUGAACCUGCGGAAGGAUCAUUAAUAAUUUUUUUCAUCUAAUGAUGAAAUAAAUUAACCUUGUGUGCAAACAUUGUAUUGAAGGAGGAAGAUGAAAUAGAGAAAAGGUGAAGCUCUUUUGGGAAAAAGAUAGUAGAUCCAAUUUCUCUUUUACAUUUUCAUCCUAAAACAAAAACACAUCAAACCUUAUAUAAACAAAAAAUAUAUUAUAAUAAAAUACAACUUUCAACAACGGAUCUCUUGGCUCUC